rnacentral:rRNA from 1 species
GACGAACGCUGGCGGCGUGCUUAACACAUGCAAGUCGAACGGAAAGGCCCUGCUUUUGUGGGGUGCUCGAGUGGCGAACGGGUGAGUAACACGUGAGUAACCUGCCCUUGACUUUGGGAUAACUUCAGGAAACUGGGGCUAAUACCGGAAAGGAUCUCCUGCUGCAUGGUGGGGGUUGGAAAGUUUCGGCGGUUGGGGGUGGACUCGCGGCUUAUCAGCUUGUUGGUGGGGUAGUGGCUUACCAAGGCUUUGACGGGUGGCCGGCCUGCGAGGGUGACAGGCCCCAUUGGGACUGAGAUACGGCCCAGACUCCUCCGGGAGGCAGCAGUGGGGUAUAUUGCACAAGGGGCGGAGGCCUGAUGCAGCAACGCCGCGUGCGGGAUGACGUCCUUCGGGUUGUAAUCCGCUUUCGCCUGUGACGAAGCGUUAGUGACGGUAAUGGGUAAAGAAGCACCGGCUAACUACGUG